UGAUGAGACACUUGUGCUUGUUCUGGUUUCUUGCUUCUGCAUUCUCUUGAAAAGUGACCAGGCUUUCCACAGUUGUAGCAUUCACUUCUACCUUUGUUUUUGUUGAAGUCUUGCUUAUUUCUUCCAUUCUUUAGAUAGCAGACAUCUUCAUUGUGAUUGUCUUUCUUGCAGAAGCUACACCACUUCUUCCCUUUUCCUUUAUAGCUUGUCUUCCAUGAGCUUGUCUUGCCAUGGUCUCUGACUUUCAAGCUUCUAAAACGUGCAUGAAAUGCACCUUCACCAUUUUCUUCAUCUUCAGGGAAGAACUUCUUUUCAUGAGCUUCCAAAGAUCCCACCAACUCAGCAAAGGUUACUGUCUUGAGAUCCUUAGUUUCUUCCAUCAGUGAUGACAAUGGAGCAUAGCUCUUGGGCAUAGAAGCUAGAAUUUUAACCACCAAAUCAAAGUUUGAUCUUCCUUCACCUAGAGCUCUCAUUUGAUUAGCUACAGCCUGGAUUCUUUCAGAGUAAGGCUUGACCUUUUCUCCUUCCUUCAUUUUCAGAUUCUCAAAAUCUCUUCUCAAGGCUUGUAGUCUAACCAUCUUUACUUUUUCAUUACCUUGAUAGGAAUGUUCAAGUAGCUCCCAUGCUUGCUUGGCUGAGGUUGCAGAAAGAAUUUUGUCAAAGACAACAUCAGCUACAGCAAGUUGAAUGAGUUGUAGAGCUGCUGUGUCUUUCGUCUUACGGGAUCGCCAGUCUCCAAGCUCUUUUGCAUAGUCAGCUCCAGACAUCUCCGGUGAUCUAGAUGGUGGUUCAGGGAGUCCUUCUUCAACUAUUUCCCAAAGCUCUCUGUUCAUCAGAGUUGUCUUCAUCCUAGCUGCCCAGAAUUCAUAGUUAUUUCCUUCAAAGACAGCCACAAGUUGUGAAGAUUGAAGGUUUGACGCCAUGUGUGUUUCUCCUUGUUCUUUUUCUUUCCUUCUUGUUCUUUUAAUUUUCUGGUUCUGUCUUGUUCUUUUCUUGUUCAGACUUGUUCAAGCUUCUUCAGUCUUAUUCAACAAGGCUCCAGAGAUCAGCAGUAGCUCUGAUACCAUGUUGCAAACUGCAGAAAAUUGCAG
rnacentral:lncRNA from 1 species